rnacentral:rRNA from 1 species
GGAUUGACAGAUUGAAAGCUCUUUCUUGAUUCGGUGGGUGGUGGUGCAUGGCCGUUCUUAGUUGGUGGAGCGAUUUGUCUGGUUAAUUCCGAUAACGAACGAGACUCUAGCCUGCUAAAUAGUUCACCGGUACCCUAUUGCCGGUGCAACUUCUUAGAGGGACAAGUGGCGUUCAGCCACGCGAGAUUGAGCAAUAACAGGUCUGUGAUGCCCUUAGAUGUCCGGGGCCGCACGCGCGCUACACUGAAGGAAUCAACUGGUCCCUCCUGUCCUGAAAAGGAUGGGUAACCCGAUGAACCUCCUUCGUGCUAGGGAUUGGGGUUUGUAAUUCUUCCCCAUGAACGAGGAAUUCCCAGUAAGCGCGAGUCAUCAACUCGCGUUGAUUACGUCCCUGCCCUUUGUACACACCGCCCGUCGCA